rnacentral:lncRNA from 1 species
CUGCUGAUCACUUGAUAGAAUCAUAGAAUGACCAGGGUUGGAGAAGACCUACAAGAUCAUCCAGUCCAACCCCUUCUCUUCUGUGCUGUUUUUCAAUCAAGACCCUAAAAACACAUCCUGAAGUUCUGUACCACAGGAAAAUUUGGGAAAACAGGGGGAGUUUGACCCCUGCUUUCCCAUGUAUGAAACAAAGAAAGAAUAAGAAGCGACUAUACCGUAUCCCAAGAGAGAAACUGAAGCGUUUUGUUUGUUGUCAAUUUCAUCACACAGACAGGAGGUGCAAUAGAGGAAGGGAAGCAGAUUGCUCACCCCUUUCAGAACACUCCACGAUCGCAGGGGAAAACUCCGCCAAGGAGGGAUCCCCAACCAGAAAUCCUCACCCAGUGGCUGUCAGCUCUUCUAUGGGGUCUAAGAGGAGUGCAGCCAGGCUCAAACCCUUCCUGCUGCACAGCUGCAUCGCCUUCACCUCUGCUGCCUGUGCUGAGCGGUCCUUUCCCAGGUGAUCCAUCAGAGGGUCAGGCUGGGACUCAGCAGUUCCCAUGCAGGCAGCGAUGCUAUGGGGCAGUGACACUAUUGGGCAACGUUAUGGGGUAGAGACACAAUGGAGUGGUGCUGCUAUGGGGCAGUGCAGCUACGGGGCAGUGAGGCUUUGGGGCAGUGAUGCUAUGGGGCAGUGCUGCUAUGGGGCAGUGAGGCUUUGGGGCGGUGCUGCUAUGGGGCGGUGCUGCUAUGGGGCAGUGAGGCUUUGGGGCGGUGCUGCUAUGGGGCAGUGAUGCUAUGGGGCAGUGAGGCUUUGGGGCGGUGCUGCUAUGGGCCAGUGAGGCUUUGGGGCGGUGAGGCUUUGGGGUGGUGCUGCUAUGGGGCAGUGAGGCUUUGGGACGGUGCUGCUAUGGGGCAGUGUUGCUAUGGGGCAGUGAGGCUUUGGGGCGGUGCUGCUAUGGGGCGGUGCUGCUAUGGGGCAGUGAGGCUUUGGGGCGGUGCUGCUAUGGGGCGGUGAGGCUUUGGGGCGGUGCUGCUAUGGGGCGGUGCUGCUUUGGGGCGGUGAGGCUUUGGGGCGGUGCUGCUAUGGGGCGGUGCUGCUAUGGGGCGGCUGUGACAGUGGGAAAGAACAGCACGGUGGAAAGGCGAUACAGGAGAGGAAUGGCAAAGGGACAAACAGGAAAGGAACGCUCAGCGGUCUGCGAACAUCUCGGCUCACGGGGAGAUACCCCCCCAGGGAGGGAUCUCCACGCACAGAGCCUUCCCAGCCGCUCUCAGCCCUUCCAUGAGGUCUCAGAGCAGUGCGGGCAGGCUCCGCCCCUCCCGCUCACACCGCUGCACCGCCUCCAGCUGUGCCGCCAGGGCUGCCCGCUCCUUUCCCAGGUGCUCCAUCGCUGGGUCAAGCCGGGACUCGGCAGCUCCCAUUGGGGCACGAAGAGGCCGAGGCGGCCGACGGCAAACGGCGACCGUCCCGCGGGAACCGCGAGACACGGGAGAGGAUCUCAGCCGUCGGC